GCCCUGCGCACCAGCGCCGCCACGUCGGCCGCAGCUCGGGCCGCCAGGGGGCGCGCGUCCAGCCGGGCCAGGAGCUGCCGGGCACUGGAGCCCGCGGGCGGGGGAAGGCCGCGGCCUGCGCGGGUGGAAAGAACAGAUCCCCAGAGGCCCCCGCCUAGCCCCCCACAAUUCGCCACGGACCCUGAGUGCCCAGGUGUCCCCAGGGCCCCCGGGCACACCCCUCCGGCACAUCUCCCGGGAGACUCCUGAGAGCCCCGGGAUCUGGUGCGCGGCCCCGCGGCGCGGGGGCCGGUGCAGGUGCGGGACCUCGAGCCCAGCCGUGGUCGCUGGGCCCCUGCCCGCUGCCGCCGCUGCUUGGGCGCCAAGGCGGCUUUGUUUACUACCUGUCGGAAGGAAAAGACUGGUUUAGUUGACACACAAUUUGAUAGUUUUUGAACUGUGUUUACACCUGUGAGACUAUCACUACAAUCAAGAGUGAACAUAAUCCUCACUGGCAUGUUUCCUCCUGCCCUGCCCAGCCACUGAUCUACUUUGGUCAUUGUUUGCAUUUACUAGAUUUUUAUAUAAAUGGAAUCAUACAAUAUGUACUCUUUUGGGGUAGUUGGUCUGGCUUCUUUCUCUUAGCAUAAUUAUUUUGAGAUUCAUUCAAAUUUUUCAUUCCUUUUUAUAGCAGAGUACUAUUCCACUGCACGAACAUUCCACAGUUUCCUGAUCCAUUCACUUGUUGAUGGACAUUUGGGUUGUUUUCAAUUUUUGGCUAUUAACAAAUGCUAUGGACUGAAUAGUGUCUCCCCAA